rnacentral:lncRNA from 1 species
GGAAGAAGAGCAGCGCCCUCUCCCUCCCGGCUCUCAGAAAUCCCCAGCAGCACAGGGAGCGCUCCUGCGUGUCCUGCCCUGCUCCUGCUCCCUCUGCAGGUGUCAGGCUCCUGGAAAGUGCGAGAGCAGUGAGAAACCCGUGUUUGUGUAGUGUGAGGUGCCUCGCCCUGGUUUAGCCUUAACAAGAUCCCUCCUAUAUAUUUAAUGGCCUGAAUGUAAAAUUUACAGCUUGGAAUGUCCCAGCAGCAGAGGAAGCCUUCAGCACACAAGCUGCCUUUUGCAGGGCAGGAGAAGUGAAAUCCCCCGAGGUUUGGGAAGUCUGAGUGAUGUAGUUAUGGUUGGCACUUUGAAUAUCUGUGUAGACUACUUCAAAAUAAAUAUUUGCAGUUCUACUCUAACAUACAUCUGGGAGGGUGAGAACUAGCAUGUAUUAAUGUUCCUUCAAAUUAAUAAUUUUGAAAAUUUUACAGUGAAAUAAUUUUGCUGUUGCACAUAAUAAACAGAGGUUGCUGUGGGUGCAUACUGGGGAGAGACUCACCUGCCCUCUGUGGACACCAUUUCCUCCUGUUUUGAAAGGAACCAGCCCUUCUCACAUUUCAGCCCCUUUAAAGAAGGGAAAGCAAAGGUAAGGGAGCUCUUGCAAGACUUGCCAUUUUAAUCUCUUGUUUUGACAUUUGCAGCUUUUGUGUUGCUGAAACUCUCAUUCACCUGCUGCCUGUGUGUAUGAAGAGAACCAGACAGAAAAAUUCAUUUCAGUCCCCUGGGGGAAGUUGUGCAAGGUCUGAUUUCCCUCCCAGUGUCAUUGUGCCUCUGCUGUGUGCUUGAUGCCACUCAGGCCCUGCACAGAACACACUCAGGGGGGAAGGAGGCUGGAAUUGCACCCAGGAUAAACACAGAGAGAUGCCCUGGGAAUUGCUGUGUCCAUGGAAUGCCUGUGAUAGGGCCCAGAUCCCAGCCCAGGAGGUUCUUUCCCUUGGUCAGCACUGGAAACACAGAGGGGAAAGAUGAGAAAUCAAAGAAAAGGAGGGAAAAAAAAAAAGGACCGACCCAGUUCCUGUGUUGCCUGCUGCUGCUUUGCUGCUUUCUCCUUCACCAGGAGGCAGGAAAGAGCAAGGAAAGUGGGUUUGUCCCUUCAGCUUUUCUUGAGUAAGGAACAGUGGUCACACACAGCUUGUCUCCGAUGAGGGGAUGGGAAUUUUUCUGAAAUGUGCCCCUAUUUAGAUACAUUGUAUGGGAAGGGGGAGAAACACCUCCAGCUAAUCUGUGCAAACAAAUGAUUUAACCACUUAACCAGCUUAACUCCAGGGUUUGAGCUGUCCAAACUGAGCCCCUCCUUCAGAGGGGAUCCUGCACCAUUUGAGCAGAUGAUUUACUGCUUCUUCCCCUUUCCUCUUUCUCAGGAUUAAAAACCAAGAGAGGAAUUAGGCUUUUAUCUCAUUUGUUACUCUUGAGCACUGAGCAGAUUUUCCUCAGAGCUGUUGGCACAAAGUGCGUUUGUAACACACAGCGGAGGUGAAACUGCAGGGCUCAGACAGAGAGCUUGUGUGCAGAAUGGAAGCACGGGCUGCAGCCUCGGAGCUGCACUGUGAGGGGGCUUUCCAUGCCCCACCGGGACUUGCAGCUUUACUCUUUGUGAAAUAAACCAGAGCUGACUGGGCA